UAAUUAAAAAUGGACCUUACAGUUACAGGACAAACUAACACAAGAAUUUUUCCUAACACAGUUAGGCUCGAAUCAGUAAAAUCUUGAAUACUUAAAUUUAGAAAAAUUUUGCACCAGUAACUGCCCAAAGUGAAUAGGGAAUGUAGCACAUGCUAGUUAAACAUUUUAUCAAACAUUUGAGAUGCACUGAAGCAAAAGGAGAACAACAUUACCAAUCACCAUGCUUUCGCUGUUUCAACAUCAGAGCUUCCACCUAAAUUGACCGUAUGUAAAAGAGAUUCAUUCUGUUGGGUAAGGUACGAUUCAGAGAGAGAAGAAUAAGGGGAGGAGGUAUUUACCUCUGUGCUAUCAAC
rnacentral:lncRNA from 1 species